rnacentral:rRNA from 1 species
AUUGAACGCUGGCGGCAGGCCUAACACAUGCAAGUCGAGCGAGAAAGGCCUUCGGGCUGAGUACAGCGGCGGACGGGUGAGUAACGCGUAGGAAUCUACCUGGUAGUGGGGGACAACAUGGGGAAACUCAUGCUAAUACCGCAUACGCCCUAUGGGGGGAAAGUGGGGGACCUUCGGGCCUCACGCUAUCAGAUGAGCCCUGCGUAGGAUUAGCUUGUUGGUGAGGUAAAGGCUCACCAAGGCGACGAUCCUUAGCUGGUCUGAGAGGAUGAUCAGCCACACUGGAACUGAGACACGGUCCAGACUCCUACGGGAGGCAGCAGUGGGGAAUAUUGGACAAUGGGGGCAACCCUGAUCCAGCCAUGCCGCGUGAGUGAAGAAGGCCUUCGGUUGUAAGCUCUUUCAGGUGGAAGAAAUACACUACCCCGAAUAACGGGUGGUGGAUGACGGUACC